rnacentral:lncRNA from 1 species
AUAACGGAAAAUAAAACCAACAAUAUUUGAAAAAUCAUCCUUAAUGAAUUACACAAAUUAAAGAAUGAAGAAGAAGAAGAGAAAAACUCCAAGUAAAUUUUUUCAAUUCUCCCUUAGCUCCUUGAUCAGCCUCCAAUUUGUCUAGAAGAGUCCCCUAAUUCAAUGUAAAUAAACCUUAUAUACUUCCCAUAUUGUGCACCAAUCCUUCUCCAAAUCAACUUUGUCAUAAAACCACUUCUUUAAAACCUUUAACGCAAGUCAACGUCAGUCAAACGCGCGCCUUAGUCAACGCCAGUCGAGGCCCAGUGCCCCGGUGCUGAGGAAUGUACUAUGAUGAGCGCCCCGACGCUGAGGCACAGAAUGCAGCCACUUUGUCCUUUUUUAACUCAACUUUCCCAAUUUAUUCCUAUAGCUCACAAACCUGCAAUAACACAACUAAACACAGUAAAAUAAAUCUAAAUGCUUUGAGAAUACAAUAAAUUAAGCCCAAAUAUAUCCAAUCAUGGGUAUAUUACCCAAUCAUCACUAUCCAUACAUCUCAAAUUCACUUUUCAAUAUUAUUACUACUAUAUUUAAUUGUGAAUUUGACUACAUCCACAAAAUAUACCAAACUAUCCAUAAAAUUAAACUACUAAAUGAUAAGAGUAGCAGCAAAAUUGUCCUGCUAGACUUGCUCCAUGACACAUAGAAUUCACCUUGUCAAAAUAAAUUACACUCAUUCUUUGGGAAGGAUGUUUGAGAAAGAGAAAUCAUGGAAGGGAGGGCCUGCAAAGGAGGAUAAUAAGUUGAAACUGGUUCCAAAUUAGUUCAAAAAAUGGAAACUAUAAUAUAGGUUUAGCUGAACACCAAUAUUAAGUCAAAGAACCAAUUGAAACAAAAAAUUAUUUCAGAAACUAUACAUUCAUUAGUUUAAAGAAAUAACACUAUCUUGAUAUUGACUAAACCAUGAUAAAAGA